CCCAUGGCUAUAUGAUGAGAUCUAUGUUGGUAGGGACAUCUGAAUAAAUAUGUAGAAUGCCAACAUUUCUGACUGCUUGGG